rnacentral:lncRNA from 1 species
GAGUGAGAUGAGUGAUGGUAUUUAUAGUGAGCAACAAUACAUAAAAUAUGAAAGAUAGUGCUUGAGUUGGUAAAUGAGUGGAUGAUCAUAGUGCUUGAGUUUGGUAAAUAAGUGAAUGAUCAUUUCAAUGCUUAUCUUAUAACACUCCCCCUUGAUCAUUCAUCUUGUAUUACGUAAUACCUCGUUAAAAACCUAGUCAUGGAAAACUCAAUGGGAAAAACCGUAGUAAAAGUAAAAAGAGUACAACUACGUAAGCUCCCCCUCGAAUGAGUAAUCAUAGAACCUUUAGAACAAUG